GUGGCCAAGUGGAGGUAGUACAGCAUGGCCAGACUGUGGCGACAGGCUCAGAGAAAGCAAAGAGGGAGAUGGAUGAGUCCAGCAUUCUGAGACGGAGAGGGCUCCAGGGAAGAAUCUAACCGUCAUGGAACUCUUAUUCAUUAUUCUUGAAAUUAAGAAAAUAUGCCAGCUUGAGGGUCGGAUCAGACAACAUGUUUAGAAAGGCUUCCUCACUGACCUUCCAGUCUCCGGAUGCUGCCAGUUACUAACACUGACAUUCUUUACGUUGAGUUAACAUAGUGGUGUGGGCAAGCCAAAGGAUUAUUUGUGGGUAAACAAAGGAGGGAUUGAAGACUUUUGGGGUUCAGUACUGUCUAUUGUUCCAGACCUAAGUAAACAGAUGACCUCCUUGGAGA